UUAUAGUACUAAGAGUCAGCACUAAUUUAUGCAAACUGAAAAUAAAGUAUUUAAGGGACCAGGGACUCUCAGGAUGGAAUAUAAACUGUGACGAAUAAAUAUAACUGUAUGGCAAAUAUGUAAAACAAAUUUCCUGAAGUGGGAGAAAAAGGUGCCGAUCUAAGUAAAUCUGGAAAGGAGUAGAAUCUAUAAGAUUAAAGGCAGAAAGAACUUCACAUAAGCACUCUAGUUGGUAAAGAUGUUUCCCGCAGAGAGUUAUCAAAAGCAAGGAAAGUUUGAGAAGCUUUCACAGCCAAGAAGAGCCUGAAGAGACAUGAUAAACAAAUAAAAUGGUGAAUCCUGGAUGCAGCCCUGGAAAAACAACAAAGCGACCUCAGGUUAUGUCUUCUUUUAUAAGACUACCCACUGCCUCUUCUCAAGUAUAUCUGAAGUAUGGCUGGUUGGAGUAUAUCAGGACCCUCAGAGGAGAAAAGCAUAUAAAACCAGCACACCUGAACCCAGAAAAGAUUCGUUAUGAAUCCGCCAAGACACCAUACUGUUUUAAAUCUGAAGUAAAAGUUAGUCUCAACAAGUUAUUGUAUCUUGUCUGCAUGAGUUUGUCAUUAAAUGAUUCUGAAAUGCA
ensembl:lncRNA LINC01440 long intergenic non-protein coding RNA 1440